rnacentral:rRNA from 1 species
UGCCAGCAGCCGCGGUAACACGGGGGGCGCAAGCGUUAUUCGGAAUUAUUGGGCGUAAAGCGUAUGUAGGCGGUCAGAUAAGUCAGACGUGUAAGCCCUCGGCUCAACCGAGGAAUUGCGUUUGAAACUAUCUGACUUGAGUGUAGAAAAGGAAAGCGGAAUUCCCAGUGUAGCGGUGAAAUGCGUUGAUAUUGGGAAGAACAUCUGUGGCGAAGGCGGCUUUCUGGUCUAUUACUGACGCUGAGAUACGAAAGCCAGGGUAGCGAACGGGAUUAGAUA